GAGGGACGCAUUUUAACCACUCCUACCCCUCCCUGGAGCACUUGAUCAUAUCCGUCUUCCCGCCAAAUUUUCCCACACCCUGCCCAGGUCCCGUCCGUACGCCAUUCCGUGGAGGGAUAGACUGCCGAGAUACGCCCACUACUAGCGCAAGCACUACCACUUCCCCCAUAACAGCCUUCCACUAUUCCGUGAAAAAGAAAAGCGCUUCGUUAGUUUUUUCUUUAGGAGGAAGGAACCUCGAUCCCCGGUCUGAUGGCGACAUCUAGGGUUUACACAGACCCAAUCCUAAGGCCUCGGCGUCUUCAGGCAGGCAUCAUCUCCAGAAUUCGACUAAGAGAUUUUAUGUGCCACUCUAAUCUCGAAAUCGAACUGGGAGAUUGGGUCAAUUUCAUCACUGGUCAGAACGGAAGUGGGAAGAGUGCGAUACUGACGGCUUUGUGCAUUGCAUUUGGAUGCCGAGCUAAAUCCACACAAAGGGCUACUACGAUGAAGGAUUUCAUAAAGACAGGAUGCAGCUCUGCAUCUAUAUGGGUGGAAAUAAAAAAUCAGGGUGAAGAUGCUUUCAAGCCAGAAACAUAUGGUGACAUGAUCAUUCUUGAGAGAAAGAUUUUGCAGUCAACUUCUACCACCAUUUUAAAGAGCUAUGAAGGCAAGAUAGUGGCUAGUAAAAGAGAGGAACUUGUUGAGCUUGUGGAGCAUUUCAAUAUUGAUGUUGAGAAUCCAUGUGUUAUAAUGAGUCAAGACAAAAGUAGAGAAUUUUUACAUUCCGGAAAUAACAAAGAUAAGUUUAAGUUUUUUUACAAGGCAACACUUCUUCAGCGACUGGGUGAUUUGUUAAAUAAUGUUGAAAACCAGUUGAACAAUGCUACUGUGUAUGUUGUUGAAAUGGAAAAGUCAUUAAGCCCAUUACAGAGGGAGCUUGAUGAGUUGGAGACCAAGAUUAAAAGCAUGGAAGAAGUGGAAGAAAUUUCCAAAGAGGUGCAGCUUUUGAAGAAGAAACUGGCUUGGUCAUGGGUAUAUGAUGUUGACAGACAACUAAAAGAGAAAGCUAUAUUAAUUGAAAAGCUGAAAGAUAGAGUACCCAUUUGUCAAGCAAAGAUAGAUCAUCAGAAGCACAAGAUGGAUAUGUUGAAUGAUCAGAUAAUUGAGAAGAGAGCUCAGAUUGGGCAUAUUAUGGAAAGGACAUCAGAAGUACGUAGAAUGAAGGAUGAUUUGCAGCACUCUAUUCACCUGGCCAUGAAAGAGAAGCUUGAGCUGGACGGCAAUUGUAAACGCAAAACCAGCCACAUUGAGAAAUUGGUUGAACAGGUCAAGUUGCUUGAGCGACAAAUUCAUGAAAUGCAGGAGCAGCAUAUAAAAGAUACUCAGGCUGAAGAGUUUGAAAUGAAGCAAAGAUUGAAGGAGAUUCAAGGUGAAAUUAGUGAGUUGAAGUUGAAGCUGCAAAGUUUGAAGGAUGAUGAGGAGUCCUUAUCAGUCACUGUAACCAAGCUGAAGGAUGAGAUAAAAAAUAUCGCUUCUCAGAUUGAAGAUCAUGCAAAGAAGCAUCACGGUAUAUGUUCUCAAAUUCGUGGCCUCCAAGAGAAUCAAAAGAAUAAGGUUUCAGCUUUUGGAGGAGAGAGGGUGAUCGCUCUUUUGCAAGUGAUUGAGAGGCAUCGCCAUAAAUUCCGAAAGCCACCCAUUGGUCCGAUAGGUUCCCAUGUGACCUUGGAUAAUGGUAACAUGUGGGGCAUUGCUAUUGAGAAUGCUGUUGGAGGGUUGCUUAAUGCUUUCAUUGUAACAGAUCACAAAGAUUCUCUUCAGUUGAGAGCAUGCGCUAAGCAAGCAAACUACAACCAUCUUAGGAUCAUCAUAUAUGACUUUUCAAGACCAAGGUUGAAUAUCCCAAGUCACAUGCUUCCACAAACCAAACAUCCAACUGCAAUUUCUGUUUUACAUUCUGACAACGCUGUUGUGGUCAAUGUAUUGAUUGAUCUGCAGGGCAAUGCUGAGAGGCAAGUGCUUGUUAAGGACUACAAUGAUGGAAAAGCAGUUGCUUUUGAUCAAAGGGUUCCAAACUUGAAGGAGGUGUACACGUCUGAUGGAUUCAAAAUGUUCUCCCGUGGUCCAGCCCAGACAAUUCUUCCCCCAAAUAGGAAAUUGAGAGCUGUCCGCCUUUGUGGUUCAUAUGAAAAUCAAAUAAAGGAGCUUGAACGAGAUGCCUUAUAUAACGAACAAGAGGCUAAAGAAGGACGUGCUAUGAAAAGAAAUAGGGAGGAAGAACUUCACUCUCUUCAAGGCAACUUGGGAAGUGCAAAGAGGAAAUGUGAUCAAGUGGAGCGAUAUUUGAGGUCUAAGGAACUCAAACUGCAAGAUUUGAUGAAAUCAUAUGCAGCAGAUGCUUGUCCUGCCAGUACAUGUACCGCUGAUGAGCUUCAUCAUGAGAUUUCUAAGGUUCAAGAGGACAUACAAGAACAGGGCGUUAUGCUUCAAAAGGUUCAGUUGAGAUUGAAAGAAUCAGAAGAUAAAGCUUCCAGUCUAAGGGCCUCAUUUGAAAAAUUAUGUGAAUCGGCAAAAGUGGAUAUUGAUGCAUUGGAAAAAGCAGAGGAUGAGCUACUGAAGAUUGAAAAAGAUAGGAAUGAAGCAGAAGCGAAGAAGAAACACUUUGAGGAAGUGAUGACUGCAAAAGUUAUUGUUGAACUAGAAGCAGCAAAAGCACAUUGCUCUGAAUUUGAGCACAACCGUAAGGAGAGUUGCAAAAAGGCUUCAAUUAUAUGUCCAGAAAGCGAGAUUGAAGCAUUAGGUGGCUGCCGUGAUAUGAACCCUGAGGAGCUAAGUGCUCAAUUAAAUAGGCUAAAUCAAAGACUCCAGCGUGAGAGCCAGAGAUUUCAGGAGUCCAUUGAAGACCUUAGAAUGUUGUACGAAAGAAAACAUCGUAGAAUCCGGAGGAAGGAGCAAAUUUUUAAAACACUUCAAGAUAAACUGAAAACAUGCAGAAGGGCCCUAGAGAUGCGGCAAAGCAAGUUCCAGAGGAAUGCCACUCUUGCAAAGCGCGAGCUGACAUGGAAAUUUAAUGCACACUUGGGGAAGAAAGGAAUUAGUGGCAAGGUUAUAGUUAGUUAUGAGCAAGAGACCCUCUCUGUGGAGGUAACAAUGCCCCAAGAUGCAUCAAAUAAGAGUGUUUGUGACACUAGAGGCCUCUCAGGUGGAGAACGGUCUUUUUCGACAUUAUGCUUUGCCCUUGCUCUACAUGAGAUGACAGAAGCUCCUUUUCGAGCAAUGGAUGAAUUUGAUAUAUUUAUGAAUGGAGACAGUUGCAUGGUGCAUAUUUGACUGCUGAUGGAGACAGUUGACUUGUUUCUUUCUGGAAAUUGGUUUCAAAAAUCUUUUCCAGCCCCCUUUGGAUGCAGUUAGCAGAAAAAUCAGCCUUGAUACUCUAGUGGAUUUUGCAUUGGCACAAGGAUCCCAAUGGAUAUUUAUCACCCCGCAUGAUAUAAGCAUGGUGAAACAGGAUCAGAGGAUUAAGAAGCAACAAAUGGCUGCUCCUCGAGCAUGAUACUUGGUUCAUCAUGCAGUUGGUGCCCUUUACUACAGCGUUUAUAUGGUUCAUCAUUCUUGAAUUGAGGGAGACAUCGACUUGUCAAACUGAAAAGUUUUCAAGAGAUCGACUGUUCAAAUUGACUGUAAAUUUUUGAAGACUUCUUGUAUGCGAUGCCAGCAUGCUCAUGCGCCCUCACUCACUCUCUCUCUUUGUGUAUUUAUGUACCUUUAAACUUCACUAAGUUUUAUUAUUCAAGUUGAUGAUGAAUUAGCUGAUCCUUA